rnacentral:rRNA from 1 species
UGUCCAGACUCCUACGGGAGGCAGCAGUGGGGGAUAUUGCACAAUGGGGGAAACCCUGAUGCAGCGACGCCGCGUGUGGGAAGACGGUCCUCUGGAUUGUAAACCACUGUCCCCAGGGACGAAGAUGACGGUACCUGAGGAAUAAGCCACGGCUAACUACGUGCCAGCAGCCGCGGUAAUACGUAGGUGGCAAGCGUUAUCCGGAUUUAUUGGGUGUAAAGGGCGUGUAGGCGGGAGCGCAAGUCAGAUGUGAAAACUCAGGGCUCAACCCUGAGCCUGCAUUUGAAACUGUGUUUCUUGAGUGCUGGAGAGGCAAUCGGAAUUCCGUGUGUAGCGGUGAAAUGCGUAGAUAUACGGAGGAACACCAGUGGCGAAGGCGGAUUGCUGGACAGUAACUGACGCUGAGGCGCGAAAGCGUGGGGAGCAAACAGGAUUAGAUACCCCCGUACC